GCUGAUAUGGCUCAGUCAGGUUAGAGCACACCCUUGGUAAGGGUGAGAACCCCAGUUCAAAUCUGGGUGUCAGCA
rnacentral:tRNA from 1 species